rnacentral:rRNA from 1 species
AUUGAACGCUGGCGGCGUGCCUAACACAUGCAAGUCGAGCGGUAAGGCCCUUUCGGGGGUACACGAGCGGCGAACGGGUGAGUAACACGUGGGUGACCUGCCUUUAGCUCUGGGAUAAGCCUGGGAAACCGGGUCUAAUACCGGAUAUGACUCCGCGGCGCAUGUUGUGGGGUGGAAAGCCUUGUGCGGCUGGAGAUGGGCCCGCGGCCUAUCAGCUUGUUGGUGGGGUGAUGGCCUACCAAGGCGACGACGGGUAGCCGGCCCUGAGAGGGCGACCGGCCACACUGGGACUGAGACACGGCCCAGACUCCUACGGGAGGCAGCAGUGGGGAAUCUUGCGCAAUGGGCGAAAGCCUGACGCAGCGACGCCGCGUGAGGGAUGACGGCCUUCGGUUG